GAGGUGGCCUUUCUUUGCACCUGAGACUGGAAUACCCAGAUGUCUGAGAGACAAGUGCAGAAGGAUGAAAUCCAGGGCAGAGCCCCUCAUCCCGGGUGAGGGGAUUCCCCCGAGCAGGAAGUCAAGGCCAAGUGGGCGAGGUGGUCCACUUGCCAUCUAUCCUGGCCGGGCAUGCCCAUUCCAGCUGUGUG